rnacentral:rRNA from 1 species
GGUACCGUCAAUCGAGCACUCUAUUCGAGUACCCGGGUUUCUUCCCCUCUGACAGUGGUUUACACCCCGAAAGGCUUCCUCCCACACGCGGCGUCGCUGCGUCAGGCUUUCGCCCAUUGCGCAAUAUUCCCCA